GACGAACGCUGGCGGCGUGCUUAACACAUGCGAGUCGAACGGAAAGGCCCUGCUUUUGUGGGGUGCUCGAGUGGCGAACGGGUGAGUAACACGUGAGUAACCUGCCCUUGACUUUGGGAUAACUUCAGGAAACUGGGGCUAAUACCGGAUAGGAGCUCCUGCUGCAUGGUGGGGGUUGGAAAGUUUCGGCGGUUGGGGAUGGACUCGCGGCUUAUCAGCUUGUUGGUGGGGUAGUGGCUUACCAAGGCUUUGACGGGUAGCCGGCCUGGGAGGGUGACCGGCCACAUUGGGACUGAGAUACGGCCCAGACUCCUACGGGAGGCAGCAGUGGGGAAUAUUGCACAAUGGGCGGAAGCCUGGUGCAGCAACGCCGCGUGCGGGAUGACGGCCUUCGGGUUGUAAACCGCUUUCGCCUGUGACGAAGCGUGAGUGACGGUAAUGAGUAAAGAAGCACCGGCUAACUACGUG
rnacentral:rRNA from 1 species